CACGUAGGGUGCGAGCGUUGUCCGGAAUUAUUGGGCGUAAAGAGCUCGUAGGUGGUUUGUCGCGUUGUCCGUGAAAACUCACAGCUUAACUGUGGGCGUGCGGGCGAUACGGGCAGACUGGAGUACUGCAGGGGAGACUGGAAUUCCUGGUGUAGCGGUGGAAUGCGCAGAUAUCAGGAGGAACACCGGUGGCGAAGGCGGGUCUCUGGGCAGUAACUGACGCUGAGGAGCGAAAGCGUGGGGAGCGAACAGG
rnacentral:rRNA from 1 species